rnacentral:rRNA from 1 species
UCGAGAAUCUUCCACAAUGGACGAAAGUCUGAUGGAGCGACGCCGCGUGAUGGAUGAAGAUCUUCGGAUUGUAAACAUCUUUUAUGAGAGAAAAAGUUUAUUGAUGGUACCUCAUGAAUAAGGACCUGCUAAACUCGUGCCAGCAGCAGCGGUAAUACGAGUGGUCCAAGCGUUAUCCGGAAUUAUUGGGCGUAAAGGGUCUGUAGGUGGCAUGAUUAGUCUCCCGUUAAAUCUUCAAGCUCAACUUGAA